rnacentral:rRNA from 1 species
UACGUAGGGGGCUAGCGUUGUCCGGAAUCAUUGGGCGUAAAGAGCGUGUAGGCGGCCCGGUAAGUCCGCUGUGAAAGUCGGGGGCUCAACCCUCGGAUGCCGGUGGAUACUGUCGGGCUCGAGUACGGAAGAGGCGAGUGGAAUUCCUGGUGUAGCGGUGAAAUGCGCAGAUAUCAGGAGGACCCCCUAUUGCGAAGGCAGCUCGCUGGGACGUUACUGACGCUGAGACGCGAAGCGUGGGGAGCAAACAGG